CACGUAGGGGGGCAAGCGUUGUCCGGAUUUAUUGGGCGUAAAAGGAGCUCGUAGGCGGUUUGUCGCGUCGGCCGUGAAAUCUCCACGCUUAACGUGGAGCGUGCGUUGAUACGGGCAGACUUGAGUUCGGUAGGGGAGACUGGAAUUCCUGGUGUAGCGGUGAAAUGCGCAGAUAUCAGGAGGAACACCGAUGGCGAAGGCAGGUCUCUGGGCAUUAACUGACGCUGAGGAGCGAAAGCAUGGGGAGCGAACAGG
rnacentral:rRNA from 1 species